GUACUGAUGAAGAGUCCCAAACUAGGACGAAAUAGCUCUCCAGUAC
rfam:Trichobilharzia regenti genome assembly, scaffold: TRE_scaffold0017304